CUGAAUGACUUGCCACCGAAGGACCACUCGCCCCUGCAGGCCUCCCAGGAAGAUUGCGUGCAUGAGUGACGUGGAGGACUUCAGCGGGAGCUUAUGGAACACAGCCUCAGCUGUGCACAGGCCCGUCACCAAGGGGGGGGGGGGGGGGGGGGGGGGGGGGGCUGGUGGGGCCGGCCCCCCUCGGCGAGCAAUUGGCCCCCCAACGGUGGCCCCCCUUGUUGGUACUAUUUGGCCCCUCCUGAUGCUCGGGGCUUGCGACGGGCCUGGCUGUGCACAAAACAUACAGGUUCCAAUCUGAAGUCCAUCCAGAUGAUCCUUAAUAAGACAGCAGACGGUACAGGCAUAGACUCCAACACCCUGGCCUUACAGAUGAAGGGCCAUCCUGAGCUGAGGGACAAGCUUCAUGUCGUCACCUCUUGAGGGCCUUUGCCUGUCUACCCUGGGGUGGUCAACUCAGAAUUACCUGAGGAUCUCAAGACAUCUAUCACCAGGCAUCUUCUCAACAUGCAUCUCGACCCCAAAUGGCAAGCUCAACUGAACCAAUACAUGGUGUCCAAA
rnacentral:lncRNA from 1 species